CCUACGGGUGGCAGCAGUGGGGAAUAUUGGACAAUGGGCGAAAGCCUGAUCCAGCCAUGCCGCGUGUGUGAAGAAGGCCUUCGGGUUGUAAAGCACUUUCAGUGGGGAAGAAAGCCUUGGGGCUAAUACCCUCGAGGAAGGACAUCACCCACAGAAGAAGCACCGGCUAACUCCGUGCCAGCAGCCGCGGUAAUACGGAGGGUGCGAGCGUUAAUCGGAAUUACUGGGCGUAAAGCGCGCGUAGGCGGUCUGAUAAGCCGGUUGUGAAAGCCCCGGGCUCAACCUGGGAACGGCAUCCGGAACUGUCAGGCUAGAGUGCAGGAGAGGAAGGUAGAAUUCCCGGUGUAGCGGUGAAAUGCGUAGAGAUCGGGAGGAACACCAGUGGCGAAGGCGGCCUUCUGGACUGACACUGACGCUGAGGUGCGAAAGCGUGGGUAGCAAACAGGAUUAGAUACCCGUGUAGUC
rnacentral:rRNA from 1 species